AGGUUGGCCCAGGAGAGAUACCAUGAUCACAAAGGUGGUUUUCCCAGGACAAGGCUUAUCCACUGCACUCUGAAUGUGCUGACCCCUGCAAUUUCCUCAAAUGUGGAAACUGCAUAAUUUGUGGUAGUGGGGGAGUGUGUUCACACUAAAACAAA
ensembl:snRNA U1 U1 spliceosomal RNA